UACGUAGGGGGCUAGCGUUGUCCGGAAUCAUUGGGCGUAAAGCGCGUGUAGGCGGCUCGGUAAGUCCGCUGUGAAAGUCGGGGGCUCAACCCUCGAAUGCCGGUGGAUACUGUCGAGCUCGAGUACGGAAGAGGCGAGUGGAAUUCCUGGUGUAGCGGUGAAAUGCGCAGAUAUCAGGAGGAACACCAAUAGCGAAGGCAGCUCGCUGGGACGUCACUGACGCUGAGACGCGAAAGCGUGGGGAGCAAACAGG
rnacentral:misc_RNA from 1 species